rnacentral:rRNA from 1 species
UGGGGAAUUUUGGACAAUGGGCGAAAGCCUGAUCCAGCAAUGCCGCGUGUGUGAAGAAGGCCUUCGGGUUGUAAAGCACUUUUGUCCGGAAAGAAAUCCUUGGCUCUAAUACAGUCGGGGGAUGACGGUACCGGAAGAAUAAGCACCGGCUAACUACGUGCCAGCAGCCGCGGUAAUACGUAGGGUGCAAGCGUUAAUCGGAAUUACUGGGCGUAAAGCGUGCGCAGGCGGUUUGCUAAGACCGAUGUGAAAUCCCCGGGCUCAACCUGGGAACUGCAUUGGUGACUGGCAGGCUAGAGUAUGGCAGAGGGGGGUAGAAUUCCACGUGUAGCAGUGAAAUGCGUAGAGAUGUGGAGGAAUACCGAUGGCGAAGGCAGCCCCCUGGGCCAAUACUGACGCUCAUGCACGAAAGCGUGGGGAGCAAACAGGAUUAGAUACCCGGUGGUCACGCCCCUAAACGAUGUCAACUAGUUGUUGGGGGAUUCAUUUUCCUUAGUAACGUAGCUAACGCGUGAAGUUGACCGCCUGGGGAGUACGGUCGCAAGAUUAAAACUUAAAUGAAUUGAC